rnacentral:tRNA from 1 species
AGAGACAUAGUUUAGUGGUAGAAUGCUUGCCUAGCAUGAAUGAGGCCUUGGGUUCAAUCUCCAGCACUA